GUUCCCAUCCCGCUCCCGCAUACAGCCAGCCACCUACCUACCUCCCUCUCUCUCAAACCUCAGUCUCAGUUGAAGCACGCUGACGGCCGCGAGAGUCUCUCACCGUUCUCGUCCCUUCUCCGUUCUCGUCCUUCAGUUCAGUCCCGCAGCCACGGCCAUCCACCCACCCAGUCGCCAGUUCCGCAGCCACCCACCCACGGACCCACCCACUCGCGAAAGCCAGCCAGAGCCUCUUCUCAGCCACAGCAACAAGCGCUUUACAUUGUCAUUGACUGUCGUUUUAUCUUUGGUUCUGUUAUUUGGAGAGGCCAAAACUAUUGAUCCUUAUAAGGUAAAUUCAAUUGAUUCCAUUCUUUUGUUUUUCUAAUGGUUUUAAAGAAAAUUUUUGCCCCGAAUUGCAUUUGGGUGUGGAUUCUCAUUGUUCACCAUUCUCCUUUUGAUGUAUGUUUGGACCAAUUUCUGCGCCUCCUACAAUUCCCUCUACAUUUGGGGGAAAUUUUGAACUUUAUAUUUGCUGAGUAAAAUUGUUGGCUUUUGAUGUUCAGUUAAAGCUGAUUGAAUCUCAUCUCGGCUUUUGCUCUGAAAUUUGAAGCCUGUAUAUGAAGCAGAUGCAGAUGAUCUGUUUCAAAUUUGUGAACAAAAGAAUUUGCUUCGAAAUUAAGCUAACUGGUUUUUGGGAUAAUUUAACUAUUGAACCAAAUCCAUAAUAAAAUCCACAAAAGUAUUCAAUAUGAACUUAUGUGACUUUUCAUUUAAGUCUAAGAAACAGAACAAAAAGUCUUGCAUGAAAUCCCAACCAAUCUUCAUCUACCGUUAUAAUCUUGCUUCCACCAUUUCCCGCAUCGACUACCAUAAAGUGUUUUCAAACUCUCGGAGUACUCUAUUAGUGUGAUGUAAUUUUUAGGAAGUGCAAUACUUAUAUUCUUUAUAGUAUUACUAUUAGAACAACUUUUUCAAGAGUCGAUUAUUGUGUACUAAUUGAGGUUAAAUUCAAUUUUUUUCUUCCUUAGAGAUGGCAGUCAGACUAGUCUGGGUUUAUCGAUCAGGGAGCUAAACGAGCCGGUAGCCAAAAAGAAUUUAUGGAUCUAUAAUUGCAACUAAUUUCAAAGUUUUGAUUAUUCUCUACAAGAAUUGAAAUGUGGAUAUAAUUGAGAAUUUGCACAAAG
rnacentral:lncRNA from 1 species